GUAUAAGAAAUGAUUUAUCAUAUAGGAUUUCGGCUCCUACAUAGGUGUAUACACCCUUGUAUU
rnacentral:tRNA from 1 species